GACGAACGCUGGCGGCGUGCUUAACACAUGCAAGUCGAACGGAAAGGCCCUGCUUUUGUGGGGUGCUCGAGUGACGAACGGGUGAGUAACACGUGAGUAACCUGCCCUUGACUUUGGGAUAACUUCAGGAAACUGGGGCUAAUACCGGAUAGGAGCUCCUGCUGCAUGGUGGGGGUUGGAAAGUUUCGGCGGUUGGGGAUGGACUCGCGGCUUAUCAGCUUGUUGGUGGGGUAGUGGCUUACCAAGGCUUUGACGGAUAGCCGGCCUGAGAGGGUGACCGGGCACAAUGGGACUGAGAGACGGCCCAGACUCCUACGGUAGGCAGCAGUGGGGAAUAUGGCACAAUGGGCGGAAGCCUGAUGCAGCAGCGCCGCGUGCGGGAUGACGGCCUUCGGGUUGUAAACCGCUGUCGCCUGUGACGAAGCGUGAGUGACGGUAAUGGGUAAAGAAGCACCGGCUAACUACGUG
rnacentral:rRNA from 1 species